CGCUUAUCUAGAGCGGCUGAGGGACCGGCCCGAUGAAGCCCGGCAACCUACAUUCGUAAGGUGCCAAUUCCUGCAAAAUGGAAUCCAUUUUGAAAGAUAAGGU
rnacentral:ncRNA from 2 species